rnacentral:rRNA from 1 species
CCCGGCAAGGGAUAACCGGCGAACGGGUGCGUAACACGUGAACAACCUGCCCUCGUGGUGGGGGAGUAGCCGGGCUAACGCCCGGGUAAUACCGCAUACGUUCUUUCGGGGGAGUCCCUGGGAGAGGAAAGCUCCGGCGCACGGGGAGGGGUUCGCGGCCUAUCAGCUAGUUGGCGGGGUAAUGGCCCACCAAGGCGACGACGGGUAGCUGGUCUGAGAGGAUGGCCAGCCACAUUGGGACUGAGAGACGGCCCAG